rnacentral:tRNA from 1 species
GGAGUUGUGCCUGAACAAAGGACCACUUUGAUGUAGUGACUCAUGAGGGUUAAAUUCCCCCCAACUCCU